rnacentral:lncRNA from 10 species
GUAGAGUGAUUCGAUUCAUGAGAAAGGAAAUAUAUUCCACAUUGUUAAGAUCAAGCUCAGAGAAGAAUCUUUAAAGCAUCAAGGUCCAACAGAAUUCCUCUCCUCUAGCUUCCCUUCCCUCGAGGUGGUACUCUGCUGCCUAGUUACAUAGCCAGUAGUUCUAGUUUCUAGCAGUAGUUUCUAGUUUGGGGCUGUUACAACCAGUACUGCAAUGUCUUAGAUUUUUUUAUUCUGCAGGAAUACCUUACACCCAUCCACUCAGGUCUCCUCUGCCAGGACUUGUCAAGUCCAAACUCUCAGACAUUUCCUUGCUUCAUAGACUGCAGUAGCCAUUCACUUGCUCUAAACUGUAUCCACUUUCGCACUAAAAAAUUUGGCAGAGUGGUUUUUCAAAUUUUAACUUUACUGAAGUAAAAU